rnacentral:rRNA from 1 species
UACGUAGGGUGCGAGCGUUGUCCGGAAUUAUUGGGCGUAAAGGGCGCGUAGGCGGCUUCGCAAGUGGAAGGUGAAAUCCCUCGGCUUAACCGAGGAACUGCCCUCCAACUGCGUUGCUUGAGGCCGGGAGAGGUGAGUGGAAUUCCCAGUGUAGCGGUGAAAUGCGCAGAUAUCAGGAAGAACACCCGUGGCUAAGGCGGUCCUCUAGUACGGUACUGACGCUGAGACGCGAAAGCGUGGGGAGCGAACAGG